CCUACGGGUGGCUGCAGUGGGGAAUAUUGCGCAAUGGGCGAAAGCCUGACGCAGCGACGCCGCGUGAGGGAUGAAGGUCCUCGGAUCGUAAACCUCUGUCAGGAGGGAAGAACCGCCACGGUGCUAAUCAGCCGUGGUCUGACGGUACCUCCAAAGGAAGCACCGGCUAACUCCGUGCCAGCAGCCGCGGUAAUACGGAGGGUGCGAGCGUUAAUCGGAAUCACUGGGCGUAAAGCGCACGUAGGCUGCUUGGUAAGUCAGGGGUGAAAGCCCGCGGCUCAACCGCGGAAUUGCCUUUGAUACUGCCGAGCUAGAGUCCGGGAGAGGGUAGUGGAAUUCCAGGUGUAGGAGUGAAAUCCGUAGAGAUCUGGAGGAACAUCAGUGGCGAAGGCGACUACCUGGACCGGUACUGACGCUGAGGUGCGAAAGCGUGGGGAGCAAACAGGAUUAGAUACCCUUGUAGUC
rnacentral:rRNA from 1 species